GUUCUUUUGAAUAGACGCAGUGCAUUCUGGGGCAGUUGAGUACGUCUAGUAAGCUAGCGAUGCUUACACAAAAUCUUUCCGGAAGUAGAAGACAUUCGGAUACUACUCGCUUACCUAAAACUCGCUUACUACGUUCUGCUUACUCAAUUUGACGUCAUAGUUAGUAAGAGUAGGAAGCAAGUAGGUGGUUUCGAACACACCCAUAGUCUAGACGAGAGGGAGGCCGUGGCUGUUUCCCAAUGUCAAGGAAACCUACAAGGCCCUCAACAGCCUAGCCCCCCCCCCCCCCCUACCUUGCCGACCUCCUCCAUCACCACGCCCCCUCCCGAUUCCUCAGGUCCAAUUCUGCCAACCUGCUACAAGUUCCACGGACUGAGCGACGGACUUGGGGUGAUCGGGCCUUCUCAGUUGCUGCCCCCACCCUUUGGAAUUCACUCCCCUCCCACAUCAAAGUCUCUCCAACCCUCUCUUCUUUCAAAUCUGCCCUCAAAACAUACCUUUUCACACUAGCCUUCCCCACCUAACUCCCUUAUUCUUCAUGUUUAACCUCUGUUUUUCUUUUAUUCCUAGUCUGUCUUACAUCGUUUUGAUAGGCCAAUAUGUAAAGCGUCUUAGAGUACCAUAUUAAGCGCUAUAUAAAUUUCAUUUAUUUUUAUUAUUAUUAUUAUUAAAGGGAUAGUUCACCCAUUUAGAACCGGAGUUCUAUCAUUAUAAAAUCGCUAUUGUAAUGUAAAUUAAUAUAUAAAAAAAUAUCAGUCUAAACCAGUCUCCCCUUGGCCCAUUUUUUCUCAUCAAAUUUUCUCCCGAAAUGACGUCAAAUGACGCGUUUGACGUCAUUUCGGGAGAAACCUCUCUUCCCGCUAGAUGGGCCGAGGACUACAACACACUUUUGGUGGCAAAUUUGCCGGAAAUUUUUCCACCAAUAAGGAAUGAGAGGGGGCGGGAGCUUGCACGCUUGCACGCUCAGCUCGCGUACUGAGGGGGAAUGAGAGGGACGGGAGACCGACACAAACCUCUGACCAUGGCAGAAGCAACAGCUGAGUUUGAAAAUAUAUUGCUGCAUUGUAAUAUUCAGGGCUAUUUGUAUGAGCCAGAAUACAGCGAGGAAGAACUGAGACGAAUAGAGGAGGAGGCUGCUGCGGCUGCAGCUGAACAAGCCUUGCCUGUUGCCGAGGAGCCGGAUCGCGCCGGAGUGAACUGGUGGUGUACCUGUUUGCUCUGUUCACCUAUGGAGACUCACAAAGAGUCCCUGUGCUGCAGCGAAUUUCAGCGAUGCCAGUUUCUUCGCGAUGAAAUGGCUGAAUCUGGCGAGGAAGGGGCCGUGUGUGUAACAUCUCACCCAGGCUUUACGCCUCAUCUGAACCGUUGGGUAUUGGACACUUAUUUCCGUACCCAGAAAGUCAACUGGAAACGCCAGCCAAAGCCCGCCGGGAGAAACGGACGUCUGAGCACAGAGCUAACAUCUUACCGACAUUUCCUGGAGUGGAUACUGCAAGGUGAGAGACUUGGGAGAGGCAAUCGCCUUGUUUUGCCAGCGUGUGUUGUCCAGGCCAUCAGGGCUAAUUACCCAACACAAGAUGGGCAGUACCGUGGCUACCAGGAGACGGUAGAUGCCCAAGAUGAGCUGUGA
rnacentral:lncRNA from 1 species